GGUCAAGGCGGCCUUCACCUCCUGAAGCACGCGCCGGGGGGUACGGAGGCUGGAGAGCCCCAUGCGCCGAGCGAGCGUCAGGGGAUCCAGCCAGUCUCUCCGGUCGUAGUCCAGGAGGUCUCCGACCCUCGUGACUUCCGCCAGGACGAACCUCUGGUGCACCGAUCGGGACUCAACAGGGGUGGUUCCAGAACAAUCAGGAACCUGCUGGAGACAAUUAAGACAGGCUGAUUAGAACACCUGCAGCCAAUCAAGAAGUUGCUAGAAUCAAUUAAGGCAGGCUAAUCAGAGCACCUGGGUUUUAAAACGGAGCUCACUUCAGUUUGUGAUGUGCAUGUGAGGAGCUGGAAGCAAGAGGCACUGGGAACUGAGAGUGAGAACGCGGACUGUUGGGGGACUGAGGUGUACAAGCAUUAUCAGACACCAGGAGGAAGGUCCUACGGUGAGGAUAAAGAAGGUGUUGGGAGGAGGACAUGGGGAAGUAGCCCAGGGAGUUGUAGCUGUCACACAGCUAUUCCAGGAGGCACUCUAGACAGCUGCAUUCCACAGGGCCCUGGGCUGGAACCCGGCGUAGAGGGCGGGCCCCAAAUCCUCCCAACUCCUGGUCAGAUACAGGAGGAGUCGACCUGGACUGUGAAUUCAGAAAAAUGGCCAAGCUGAGGGCUGCCGUGAAGCUCCAGGGCGAGCAAAUCUGCCAAUAAGCGCAAGACUCACCAAGGUAGAGCUGGAACUUUGUCACUAUAUAUAAUGUAAUCUAGGGUGAAAUGGUUGUUCUGGGGAUCAGUGGGGAACUGGGAUAAUAGCAGUGCAGGAUGGAAUUGCUGGAACACCUGAAGAAGGGUGGUUGAAGGAAGUAUUAUGGUUAAGGAUAAGCAUUUGUCACAGAUUCCAUGACUUUCAGAGACCUCCAUGACAUUUUACCCUGUAGCUUCAGCUCCGGAGAGGCGAGGGCCUGGAGCUGUCAGCUGCUGCUGCAGCAGAUGCUGUAGCCUCCUCUUCUCCCCCCACCAGAGGGGGGUUCAGGCUGUCAUUCCCCUUCCCCCCCUUAUUUUUAGUAAAGGCUAUUGUGACAUUUUAUAAAUUUGUAUCCAUUUCCCCCCAAGUUGAGCUUACAAUUAGGGUAAAUUUGUAGUCCCAAUUAUUAUAACUUUCCUUAGUGCACCUUUCCUUAGUUCACAUAAGCAGCCAUAAAGCCUUAAUUUUAUUUAGGUAAAAGUGGUGAUAUAUAUUGCUUUAAAUUAACUGAAGUUUGAUUUUAUUUGAUUUACUGGCAGGGAGUAUUCUGCAGGAGUAUUUUGGGGUCUACCUUUUCAAGACAGUGGUUAUCUUUUUGUUAUAUAUUUGUACAGGGCCUAGCAAAUGGAGCUCAGGCCUCUACUCACUACCAUUAUGCAAAUAACUAAUGAUAUCUUAAUCCACUAAAUCACAUGCAGCAUUCAUUAACUUGUUUUUAAAAAUGUUCAGUGUAAUCUUUUUAUUGGAGGCAAGGAGAGAAGACGUGGAAUUUCAUUUUUUAUGCAGUCCUACCUAAUGGCUACACUUUAUCUUUAGCUAUCAGUAUUGAUAGUCUGGCACUAAUCUGAUAAAUUGUCACUCCACACACAGAUUAGAAUUCAACCAUCCUUUGCCUCUCAAUCACCAUAUAUUUUUAUCAACCUGUUUUCAGAGUGCUCAUUAACUAUCUGUCUGUUCUCCAGCUUUGAACUGUGCUUGCCCCACACCACAUCCUCAACAAGAGGGUUUUUUAUUGUUGUUUUUUAGUUAAAGCCAACCUCUUUCUGUUUUAGGGGUUUAUGAUUAUAAACAUUUUCACAUAAAUGGACUGAAACUUCCAGAAAAAAUAGAAUUAAAGGCUCUAUUUAAGGAAAUAGUAGUCAGAUGGUCAGAUUACAGAUAAAUAAAGGUCAAAGGAUAUAUUUAACUGGAGAUAAGCAGAGAUGGCUAAAUAGAGGUGUCUAGUAAGUGAAAUUAUAAAAUAAUGUACAGUGAGGGUGAGAAAUCAAUUUAAAUUAAUCCAAGGGAUUGAAAAAAUACAAUAAUUUCCCCUGUUUAUUUGCUCAUACAUGUUUGCUUCCUUAUUUUUGUCCUGUUUGGGUACAAUAUUUUCCCACACUAGUUCAAGAAAGCAUUCUGAUGGAAGGCUAUCUUCUUGGUUUGAGUUGACAAGUCUCUGAAAUGGUACUCUCACUUUCAGGUUAGUUUUCUUCAUCCAGUUUUCCCCUUAACUUUGAUUCUACAUUUUAUUUUCCUCCAGAAACCUCUUUUAAUGAAUAUUUUGCCAGGGGAAUCAAUGCAAUUAAACAUGGUUUUGUAAAUUGGAACACUUUUUUAUUACAGAGCCUUAGUAAUGUUGUCUAAAGCAGAUGCAUUCAUGUAUUUCUUCAGGUCUCCGCAUUUUCUACAUGGGAAAAAGAAUUACACAAAAUAGUAUUUGACCCGCGCUACCUUCUGCUAAACUCUGAAGAACGUAAACAGAUAUUUGAGCAGUUUGUCAAGACCAGAAUAAGAGACGAGUACAAAGAAAAGAAAAAUAAAUUAUUGCUAGCCAAAGAAGAAUUUAAAAAACUUCUGGAGGAAUCCAAACUGUCACCAAGAACAACAUUUAAAGAGUUUGCAGAGAAACAUGGCAGAGAUCAGCGGUUUCGACUUGUUCAGAAGAAAAAAGACCAAGAGCAUUUUUUCAACCAGUUCAUUCUUAUUCUUAAAAAGAGGGACAAAGAAAACAGAAUAAGGCUACGGAAAAUGAGAUAAUUCUUGAAAUCUGCAAUAAACACACAAAAUCAAUACUGUGACUGCCAUAGAAAAUGAAAUGAAGAAAUAGCAUUUUUUGUCUUUUUCUGAUUCAAGUUCCAAAAAUUUAAAGAAGAACCAGAUAUCCCUGAGAAAUACCUUUUCAUACUGAGGUUCAGUGAACACAAGUUAAAUUUUGUUCAGAUUCCUCUGCAGGAACCUGUAGGAUAUUUAGUUCUCAGAGAAUUAAUGUUUCAUAUUGAAGCUCUCUUUUGUACAACAUUCAUAGUUUGAUGCAUUUCUAAUUGCCAUGAUAUGUCAAUCCCUUAAUUGUUUUAAUUAUGCAAAUUACUUGUAAUAUACACAAAUUAUAAAUUCAAUGCAGAUUUGUAAUUAAGCAGAAAACAGAUGUCAUCCAUUACAAUCUCAAGAUAAUUCCCUUAAAUGAUGAACAUAUCUAAAUCUAUUUUUGGCAACUUACCCAUUAACAAACUGUUUAGAAGUACAGUGGUAUUGAGGAAUUCAUCACUCAGUGUUCAUAUGUCUAUGUCUAGUUUCUGAGUAGUAGUAGUAAUAGGGUAUUAUUUGUAAAUCAUAGUGAAGAGUGUGUAAAUCUUGGCAUAAGUUCCAUAGAAAAACUUAUAACUUUCAAAUAUGGCUUUGGAAUUUCUUUGAAUGGUGCUUUCAGGCACACAGAUUACAGCAACACUUCCCCAUAAAAGUUACUAUAAAGAAGCUAUCUUGUAAAACAAUCAUAUAAUAUUUGAGUUAUUUUUAUUGUAUGUGAAGAUUUUGCAUGAGAAUUUUCUCAUCUUUGUAUAAACAAAUAUUUUAAUUUUUUUAAUAAAUAUUUUAAGCCAA